rnacentral:rRNA from 1 species
GCAAAAAAGCUAGCCUGAAAAUAAACGUAAAUCUCAGCCAUAAUAAACAAUCAAAUCCCCCCCCCCAAUAAAACAUUUUUCCUCCCCAGUAUAGGAGAUAGAACAGGACC